UGUUAGAAAUCCACUGACACUCAUCAC
rnacentral:piRNA from 1 species